AAUAGAAAUUAUGCUCUUUUUUUCUUCUUCAUUUAACGUCAAAAAUAAAAAUACAAUUUGAUGGCUACUAUUAAUAUUUUGAUCCAACAUUUCGAGAAAUAGAGCGAAGAGAAUUGUUGUGUAGAAUAUAGCAUUGACGGGAUAAUUGAAGGAAUAUGCUUCUUAUUCUGAUUUAGUUGGUUUUAUUUCGAUACGAUUGAACAUCAAUCUUACAAAAAAAGUGUGUGAAAAUUAAAUUUCAUUGUCGAAGGUAACGACACGCCUAUGAAAAUACGUAACGCGGGUAUGCGUAUAUAUGUUUAGUUGAAAAAUAUCAACACUCAAUUUGGAGUAUAUCUCUUGUAUGUAACUGUUUUUUAUAUUGAUAUAGAAUAUUUUGAUUCUGAAGAUACUUUCAUUGAAGGUGAAGUGUUGCAACAUGAAUACAAUAAAGAAUUAAUUGGUAUGAAUGAUACAUUGUCAAUUGUUUCAACUUGUAGCGAUCAACCAAUAGAUGUAUUUGAUGGUGGAAAUGAUUAAUUACGAACCGACCGCAACAUGAGAUAAUGGUGGAUCAAAUAUACAUGAAUAAGUCGACAUUGAAGGAUGUGAUAGAAAAAUACUCAAUAGAAAAAAUGAUUAAAUUCUUGGUUGAGAGGUCAAACUCUAUUAGGAUUGGGUGCAUUCUGAUUGUCGGGCAACAAGUGGAUUGAUUGGAGGAAUAAUCGCACCUAAACGGAGGAAUCACAAGAGUAAGUACAUUCCAAAUAAUAUCAUGAUGACAUUAUGUUGGACUUGGGUAUUGAUAUUAACUAUAUGUUGGCAUAUCGAGCAAAAGAGAAAGGCAUUGUAAUCAAUAAUGGGGCAACCAACUUCGUCUUAUGGAAGCUACCUUGGAUAAGACGUAUUCUGGUUCACAUAUUCGAAUGAAGAAGCCAAACUUGCAUGGAAAGAGAUGUUUCAGGCCGAAGAUCAUUGGAAAAAGGAGCUAAAUUUGGGCACCAGAUUAAAGGUCGGAAAGCAGAAGAAGAAUUGGCGAAAAUGAAGAACCAAGAAGUUGAAAAGUGCACUAGCAAGAAGCACUUCCGCGUCGCAGACGCACUCCCCCCAAGCAGUGAAGGAGCUCCCCAUAACAGGGGAGUACGCGAUAUGGGUGUGUCGCGGAGGCAGAUCAACGAUGCAAAAUAGAAACUCCCCCAUAACAGGGGAUUCAGUGAUAGAGUGUGUCGCGGGGGUCGUUACACUAAUGAGCAGAAUCGAGCGAGGGAACACGUCUGCGGUUGCGGACCUGGACAUGAAAAUCGUCCCACAUGUUUAUUUUUGACUAUAAAUAGUUUAAGUAUCUCGUAUUACACACUAUACUUUCUUUUAAAAAAAGGAAGCUGAGGCAAAAAACGAUUUUUGUACUAAAUUUUAGGGUUUUUCUUCUCCUACUUCAUCUUGAUAAAGACUUGUAUGAUUCUAAUACAUUCCAUCUUGUUAUUUUGUAUUAUGAGUAGCUAAAAUCCCUUGUUCUAAAAUUGUAGCUAUGA